GUUCCUGUAUUUGUUCAAUUUUAAAGACGCAACCAGAGGCCGAAUGUUUUCACAGGAGUGUUGUAAGGACAUUCGAGAGCAAUGAUGUUCCUUACUUUAACCGCUUUCCUGCUUUAUGCCAUACACAUUGCUCACGGCGGGAGCACAGCCCACGUAGAGGAAGGUUCAGCUGAAUACGGUACCUGGAGCACAAUCCCUUAUAUGGAAAAGGAAUCAAGUGGAAAAGAAGUCCAGACCGACACAGGUGAAGAAGUUUACUGUCUGGAUCCACGAUGACUCCAGAUCACAUUCACACACAGCGUCUUUUCAUUCAUUCAUUCAUUCAUUCACUCAUCUUCUACCGCUUAUCCGAACUUCUCGGGUCACAGGGAGCCUGUGCCUAUCUCAGGCGUCAUCGGGCAUCGAGGCAGGAUACACCCUGGACCCUAAGCCACCGUGAUCGUCUUUUCAUUUGAAUCUCCAUUUCCAUGAUAAAUGGAUAAUAAAUUUCCAUGUUUCCUUUCCUUUUGUUUCCUUUGUUUUCUUGCUGUUUUGCUAGUAAACCUUCCUGCUUUUAUAAGAGAACGUAACUUAGAGCUCUCUGUCUGUAACAGUCCUAACGAUCGCAUCCAACACUCAUUACUGCAGUGUGUUUAUUCUGUAAAGUCAUUUCAACAUUCAUGUUAUGUGAUUUUAUAGUUUUGUGCACGACAAAUACUUAAGGUCUCAAGUGUAAUGGAAACAAAUAAAGCUGCAUUAACUUCA